UUACGAUUGACGGAGCGAAGCGACGUCAAAGCGUAUACAAAGUCGAGUCGGUUUAAGGAUACGUUCGUUGGGUAGGGGAGCGUUCUGUAAGCCUGCGAAGGUGGCCUGUGAGGGUUGCUGGAGGUAUCAGAAGUGCGAAUGCUGACAUAAGUAACGAUAAAGCGGGUGAAAAGCCCGCUCGCCGGAAGACCAAGGGUUCCUGUCCAACGUUAAUCGGGGCAGGGUGAGUCGACCCCUAAGGCGAGGCCGAAAGGC
rnacentral:rRNA from 1 species